CUAAGUGAGAUAGUAAACCACAUACUCACUAGACCAUCAGUGAUAAAAAUAUUUCCCUUGAGCCAACUGUAUUUCUUCAAAUUGGAGGAUCAAUGAUGUAGCAAUCUAUUGGUACAACACCUGACUCUCUUUACUUGGAAAUUUAGUAGUGUGAAGUCCAAGGAGACCAUUUUGCCUUUUGAAGUGACAACAAAAUGCCCAUACCUACCCCCAUUACAUUCGUGGAUCCAUGGAAGAACUUUUUCCAUGCCAACGCAACUUCUGACAUCAACACAUAUUCAUCGAGAGGUCGUUUGAUUGUGGUGGAAUGCCAUAGAACUGACAAAACGGAUGCUGCCGAUGCCAAUGCUAGCCACUGGCCAGGGCAAAGCCCUCCCAAGCUUCCCUCAGCCAUAAACUAGAAGAAAGAAUCACUUGCAGCCCUAAUCGGUGGUGGCUUUCAUUAUAGAAUUUAGGUCGGCAAGAGGGCAUUCCCUGUUGCAGAAUGAGAUACAUUUGAUAAUUUGGCAUAUCCGGAAGAUGCUUUGUGUCUCCUUGAACAAUCCUAUACUGAUCCACAAGUACCUGGGUGCAAUGUUGAAGAUAUUAGCAGCAUACCAAAUCUGGGAAUGGUCUGCCAGCCCACUGAAGAUGGUUCUUUCUUGGAACUGAAUGAUUUUUCAGAAGAAUCAGGACAAGCCGAUUCCCAAGAUAUUGAAGCAACUGUGAUGAUUAAGAAUCACCUUGACUACUUUAAUGCCUCUCCGGCAAGCUUCCCAAUUGAAGAUCGCUGCCUUUUAGAGAUGAAUGAGCUUUCAAAUCCUAUGGAUGCCAACUCAAAUGAUUUUGAAAAACUUGAUGAACUCUUACACUUUUUGAAUGCAACUGAGAACAAUUUGUGUGAGGUUGGGUCAGGUGAUGGGGUUCUAGAUAAGCCAGAUAUUUUUGGCAACGGUUUAAAUGCAAAGUUAGAGGCAAUUUCCAUU